rnacentral:rRNA from 1 species
CUUGUAAACAUAAGAGGUCCAGCCUGCCCAGUGAUUCAUUCAACGGCCGCGGUAUCCUAACCGUGCAAAGGUAGCGUAAUCACUUGUUUUCCAAAUAAAGACCAGUAUGAAAGGCAUCACGAGAACUAAACUGUCUCCUUUCUCUAAUCAGUGAACCUAAUCUCCCCGUGAAGAAGCGGGGAUCCUGCUAUAAGACGAGAAGACCCUGUGGAGCUUAAAACAUUACAACAAUGCCCCCUCCCCCACCGGCACCCUGAUUACAUGUUUUUGGUUGGGGUGACCGCGGAGAAAAACCCAUCCUCCGUAAUGAAAGGGAUUUCCCCCCUAAGCAACAAGCUACAACUUUACACAUCAAAAAAAUUGACAUCUUUGACCCAAUAAAUUGAUUGACGAAC